AUACGAGGGGUGCAAGCGUUAUUCGGAAUCAUAGGGCGUAAAGGGUGUGUAGGCGGCGUACUAAGUCAACUGUUAAAUCCCCCAGCCUAACUGGGGACCAGCGGUAGAUACUGGUAUGCUAGAGGAUGGAAGAGAGAAGCGGAAUUCUUGGAGUAGCGGUAAAAUGCGUAGAUCUCAAGAGGAACACCGAUGGCGAAGGCAGUUUCUUGGUCCAUUUCUGACGCUAAGGCACGAAAGCGUGGGGAGCAAACAGGAUUAGAAACCCCAGUAGUCC
rnacentral:rRNA from 1 species